ACCCUUAGAUGUUCUGGGCCGCACGCGUGUUACACUGACGCAUUCAUCGAGCUUAACACCUUGGCAGACAUGCUUGGGUAAUCUUUUGAAAGUGCGUCGUGAUGGGGAUAGAUGAUUGCAAUUAUUCAUCUUCAACGAGGAAUGCCUAGUAAACGCAAGUCAUCAGCUUGCAUUGAUUACGUCCCUGCCCUUUGUACACACCGCCCGUCGCUACUACCGAUUGAAUGGUUUAGUGAGCUUCAUGGACUGGAGGCUGCUGUGGGUUCGCCUACGGCAGCUUUCGGGAAGUGAAUCAAACUUGACUAUUUAGAGGAAGUAAAAGUCGUAACA
rnacentral:rRNA from 1 species